GCCAGUGUGGUGUCAUGGUUUGAGUGUCGGAUUAGGAUUCUGGAGACCAGGGUUCGAAUCCUUGCUCCGCCA